AUUAAGCUGAUUUAGAAAGUCAAGGCAAUUUGCCAUAAUUUAAUUAGUAAUCUUGGAUCAAAUUGCGUCAUUUUUAUGUACAAAACAAAAAAUAAUCGACAGCAUCCGAUCACAAUUUGGAUCGAUUGCUUCAAUAUCGCAAGCGUUUAUCAGGUUUUGUUUCCCAAUUUAUGCAUACUUAAUGAGUAAAGGGAGGAUGGAUUUUUCUGUAUUGCCUUUAUAUUGAUAAGAGAUCGCAACGGAUUAUAUUUGAGCUGCAGAAAUAGGUUUCAGGCGUUCUGUGUUGUUAUGAAUUUAGGCUCUUUUUCUUUCGAAUACGCAGAGAGUUGCCGAUUGUUGUGUAAAAAUAGGGGUUUUCUGGAUGCUUGAAUUUGUUCAUGCAAAUGGCUUCCGCUUUGCAGCAGAUUAAGAACCCAAGUUUCAUGCUUUCCCACGAUAAUUUUAGAAAUGCCGUGUGGAUUAGCUUCCUGUCGAAAAGAUGGAAGUAUGUUUGGACUUCGAUGCUUUACUUAAUUUUCCACAUAUAUUGGUUUGCGAAGCAUGAUAGUGAGAAUGAACUUCGAUGUUUUGGGAUUUUAUGGCUUUACUUAUAAGAGAUGGCCCUCUCAACUUAUAAGGAUCAAAUGUGUACUGAUAACACAUAAUGAAGCAGCUGAAUGAGCUCUUUCAUGUUGUAUCUGGGAAGAAGGCUUGAGAACUUUGCUUUUUUGAUGGUGAUUCCACUGCUCAUGAGCUAAUCCCUCGCGUCCUUUGUGAAACAUUGUAGUAACGAAACAUCUCAUUGCAAGUAAUAUCAGUUUUAAGUAACCAAAGAAGUCUUGUUGAGAGUUCUCAUAUGAGGCGAGGUAGCUGAGAAUUUUCUUUCACGCGAUUGUAUUAAGUGCAAGAACGUUACUUAUAAGAUUGCCAAGUCAUUGAUCUUGAGUAGAUUGAUGGCUCAAGUAGUACUCAGGUAAUCACGGAUCUGUAUGCUCGUGAGAAAAUUUGGGUUGUAGACUAUAUUUCAACUCUAAGCUCAUGAUUUCUCCUCCAAACUUGCUCCUUUUCUGCUACAUUGGAGGAAUGCUGCGUGUCUUCAUUGUGGUGAAUACAUACUCUUUGGAUAAUGUCUCAGUCUGCCUUCUAUGUUUACCUCGUGGGUGGAUACAAAAAAUGCUUACUCUGUUCUGCAAGGUUGAUUGGGCUUAAUGAUGUGAAGGCUUUGACUCUGUGCACUCUUGUUGCUAAGUACACACACAAUGUUGUCAAAUGUCGGAUAUGGCGGUGCUAUGGCAGCGACAUGGUGCUAUGGCGUUUCCGCUAUUUGAUAACAUUGAUAAUUUUCCAGGUGCUUUAUAUAGGGCACAACAAAUAAGUUGCCAAUUUUGUUUCCUGUUUUUCAAUAGAUGUAUUAUCAUAUUUGUAAAGAAUUUAACUUUGAUUAACAAUCAUGUUUAGUUUUUUACUCGUAUAUUCAAUGAUUGUGAUAUUACUUGUCUGAUGAGUUCUUCACUUAUUUAUGGAUGAAGAAUUGUAAAGAAAAUCUGCAGGUAUUAAAAAAAAUGAAAAACGAAAAGAAAAAGGGAAGUUUUCAAAUCUAUGGAUGAUUGCAGACAGCCUAAAACAAUAGUAAUGUUGAAAUGUGUAAGAAUGUAAAGUUGAAAUGUCAAUAGAAAAGAUGCAUUGAAAUGAGGUUCAAAGAACACUCUAAUUGGGUGUUUAUUCUUCUACUGAUCUUGAUUUAGAAGUACUAUAACUUGCUUAGUAUGCUUAGAAUGUUGCACGUGCAGGAUAGUUUAAAACAUUUACCUAGGUAUAUGAAUCUGUAUCUUUAGCCUGUUCAUGAUGGAAGAGGAUAAAAGGAUUUGCUCAACAUAUCUCUGUGAAUCAUUGCCAACUUACACUUAGUCAUUUUGGUCCUCCGGAUAUAUGAAUGUAAUAGUCUUUGGCUCUAAAGAAAAUGGUGAAUUACAUGUAGGGGACUCUUGUUAAUUUGGUGUUAGCGGCUAGGUGGUAUUAAAUGUUAUUUACUUCAUAUAUGAUGGAGUUAAAGAGCCAUAAAAGUGUAGAAAAAUGAUUAUUUUUCUUUUCAAAUGUAGAGAAUUGAAUAAAAACAAGUAAAUAAUAAUCCGAGAUGAGAUAGAGUACCUUGCCCUUAUCCCUAUCAAGUCUCAUGAUCUUUUUCCUUUACUCUAACUUGGUUCCUACUUUUUUUUAUAGACAACCUUUCUGUAACAAUGCAUUAAUAUUCCUUGAUUAUCCUCUCUUUAUCAGAAUUUACGUUACUUGGCAGAAUACAACACAAAUAGCUCUUAGUUAUGACAUCAACUUCAUACAUGUGAGUUUUUACAUAUUUUAAUCAUAUCUAUAUUUGUAUUAUAGGCAUUGCUAUCUUUGUUUUGCAUAUGUGUGCUAGUGCAAGUGCUAAAAUUGAAAUGAGACUGUAUCUUUCAUGUUUUGGUAACAUUGUGCUUAAUAUAUUUGAAAUACUCUGGAGAAGUAUUUUGUUUUGAGUGGCAUUUGAUAAUCUAUUUCUAUAUUAUUUUGGAUUUAUAAAUUCCGAGGAUAAACGCCUGAGAUAUUCAAUUUAACCAUUGAGAUUCUAUGGAAACAUUAAACAUCUCUAGGUUGUUAAUAAUUUUGCAGAUAAUAAUUUAGUAACGCACAUUAUUUAGCAACAUUGAAAAUCAUUAUCAUAAUGAUUUAUGGUCUCAUACUGAUUGGUUGUUAAUGGCCUAUUUGCUAUUUCAGGAAGUUAUUGACUCAAUCAUAUUCAUUUCGUUUUGUUUAGAUACAUGAUUAGUAUUUGCCGAUAAAAUAAAAUGGGUAGUGCUUUUACUAAUGGAAUAACAAAUACAGUGUAUCGGUUGGCAGCUUGGCUAAAAUGAAAUCACAAUGUGAUACCUCUCAGUGGAAAAUACCAUGAUCCUUGUCAGAUUUUUCUUCCUGUUUAUGUUCUCUCGCUUUUAAAUUUAUUUAGUUGGCGUAACCAACUUUUUCUUUAGUAACUUUUUCGGAGGAGGGGCUGUAUCUGCGUUGUCAAAAUAUUCUUUCUUUAGGUCUAACUAAUGAAUGGCAAAACCUUGUUUCCUCCGCUACUCAAUUGGCUGAAAUUUCUGCCCCGCCCCCUCUCUUCCCCGCUAUAGGUUUUCUCGAGAAGUCAAAACAGUCUUUCCAUUUGCAGUGAGCUUCUUGUUGUUAAGAUAAUUAUCUUAUUGAAGUAUUUAAUUGUACGGAUUUUAAUACAUUUUCCUCCAAUUUAAGAUAAUUUUGAUUUUAAUUUAAUUUCUAUAAAAUGUAGAUCAUUUGAUUGUUUAGAUAUUCAUCACGGCAUUAGCCUUUAUAAUUCAUUGAUUAUUUGUUUUAUCAAUAUGCCUCUGUAAUUGCUGCUCAUAUCAGGCUUGGAUCUGUAUCUGUUGAACAUUUCUUAUAUGCAUUUGGCAAUUUUUGGUCGUUUAUGUUGAGUAGCGACAUGAUUAUGUUAUCUAGUUAUAGAAAUGUGAACACCAAACAAUUCUCAAAAAAAUUCUUGGUUUAGAUGUAUGAGAAAGUAAAGCAUGUAUUUAAUCUGGAUAUUAUCUCUGGAUGAUAAAUAUUUUCAGUGACUUUUUCUGCCCCGCCCCCUCUCUUCCCAGCUAUAGAUUUUCUUGAGAAUUAAAAAAUAGUCUUUCUAUUUGCAGUGAGCUUCUUGCUGUUAAGAUAAUUAUCUUAUUGAAUUAUUUAAUUGUACAGAUUUUAAUACAUUUGCCUCCAAUUUAAGAUCAUUUUAAUUUUGAUUGAAUUUCUAUAAACUGUAGAUCAUUUGAUUGUUUUGAUAUUCAUCACUGCAUGAGCCUUUAUAAUUCAUUAAUUGUUUGUUUUAUCAAUCUGCAUCUGUUAUUACUGCUCAUAUCAGUUUAGGCUGUAUCUGUAUCUGUAUCUGUUGAACAUUUCUUUUAUGCAUUUGGCAAUUUAGUCAUUUAUGUUGAGUUUUUUUUGGGGCAUGGUAUUAAUGUAUAGCGACAGGGUUAUGUGAUCCAGUUAUAGAAAUGUGAGCAUUAUACACUUCUCCGAAAAAAAUUUGGUUGAGAUGUAUGAGAAAGUAAAGCACGCAUUUAAUCCAGAUAUUAUAUCUGGAUGAUUAAUAUUCUCAGUGAAUUUUUCUGCCCCCCCCCCCCCUCUUCCCCGCUAAGGUUUUCUCGUUUAGUCAAAAAAAGUCUUUCCAUACGUAGUGAGCUUCUUGUUUUUAAGAUAAUUAUCUUAUUGAAUUAUUUAAUUGUACGGUUUUUAAUACAUUUACCUCUAAUUUAAGAUCAUUUUGAUCUUGAAUUUAUUAAAAUGUUGAUCAUUUGAUUUUUUAAAUAUUCAUCACUGCAUGAGCCUUUGUAAUUCAUCGUCUAUUUGUUUUGUCAAUCUGCAUCUGUAAUUUCUGCUCAUAUCAGGCCUUGAUUAGUAUCUGUUGAACAUUUCUUAUAUGCAUUUGGCAGAGUUUGGUCUCUAUGUGGAGUUUGUUUUGGGGCAUGGUAUUGAUGUAUAGUUACAGUAUUAUGAGAUCCAGUUAUAGAAAAUGUGAACACCAUGCACUUCCCCGAAAAAAUCUUGGUUGAGAUGUAUGAGAAAGUAAAGCAUGUAUUCAAUCUGGAUAUUAUCUCUGGAUGAUAAGUUUUCACAGUGACUUGUUUUUGGA